AUUCAUAUAGCUUAUAUUUUAGGGCACAACACUGAAGAUGUUGGGGAGAUAGAUAUCUGUGAAUA
rnacentral:tRNA from 1 species